UACGUAGGGGGCAAGCGUUGUUCGGAAUUACUGGGCGUAAAGGGCGCGUAGGCGGCACGGCAAGUCAGGAGUGAAAGCCCGGGGCUCAACCCCGGAAUGUCUUUUGAAACUGCCGAGCUAGAGUGCGGAAGAGGCAACUGGAAUUCCCAGUGUAGCGGUGAAAUGCGUAGAUAUUGGGAAGAACACCUGAGGCGAAGGCGGGUUGCUGGGCCGACACUGACGCUGAUGCGCGAAAGCCAGGGGAGCAAACGGG
rnacentral:rRNA from 1 species